UACGUAGGGUGCGAGCGUUGUCCGGAAUUACUGGGCGUAAAGGGCGCGCAGGCUGUUAUGCGAGUCUGCUGUGAAAUGUAACCGGCUCAACCGGUGCCUUGCGGCGGAUACUGCAUAGCUGGAGUACUGGAGAGGUAAGUGGAAUUCCUAGUGUAGCGGUGAAAUGCGUAGAGAUUAGGAAGAACCCCGGUGGCGAAGGCGACUUACUGGACGAUAACUGACGCUGAGGCUCGAAAGCGUGGGGAGCAAACAGGAUUAGAUA
rnacentral:rRNA from 1 species